rnacentral:rRNA from 1 species
GAUGAACGCUGGCGGCGUGCCUAAUACAUGCAAGUCGAGCGAAUGGAUUGAGAGCUUGCUCUUAUGAAGUUAGCGGCGGACGGGUGAGUAACACGUGGGUAACCUGCCCAUAAGACUGGGAUAACCCCGGGAAACCGGGGCUAAUACCGGAUAACAUUUUGAACCGCAUGGUUCGAAAUUGAAAGGCGGCUUCGGCUGUCACUUAUGGAUGGACCCGCGUCGCAUUAGCUAGUUGGUGAGGUAACGGCUCACCAAGGCAACGAUGCGUAGCCGACCUGAGAGGGUGAUCGGCCACACUGGGACUGAGACACGGCCCAGACUCCUACGGGAGGCAGCAGUAGGGAAUCUUCCGCAAUGGACGAAAGUCUGACGGAGCAACGCCGCGUGAGUGAUGAAGGCUUUCGGGUCGUAAAACUCUGUUGUUAGGGAAGAACAAGUGCUAGUUGAAUAAGCUGGCACCUUGACGGUACCUAACCAGAAAGCCACGGCUAACUACGAGCCAGCCGCCGCUGUAA